AGGUAGGCAUUACCCAUGAGUGGCUGG
rnacentral:piRNA from 1 species